AAGAAAUAAAAAAAUAUAUAAAAAAGUGAAAUUGGAAUUAGAAUUGAAAAUUAAAAAAAAAAAAUCCAUUUCUAAAGAAUUUUCGUGGUUGUCAAAACAAAGGCAUAAAUAUGAUUCAUGAACAUUGGCUUUGGUAAAAAAAGAAAAAGCUUAAUUUUGAAUUCAGAUUCGUCAAAUCAUAUUGUUAGAUAAGCUGCAUGUCAAAGAGAAUUUACCACUUACUAUAAAUGAGUCCCAAGGUACAAUAAAUUAUAAUCACUAAAUAUGUAUGGGCAUUUUUAUCAAACAAUAAAAAGAUUCUACUGUAAUUCAUGAACAACUCUAAUUAUAGAGCUGAUGCAAAAGACAGCUGAUAAUUAAAGAGUUCACCAAACGGUGCGAUACAACUUUUUGGGUGCUUAUCAACAAUCAGUUGCAUCUUAUGACUGAACCAAACACCUCCUUAAUUUUUGUGGCUUUAUUAGGAAAGGUUAAGGUUAAGUAGUCAUUUGACAAAAAAUAGAAUUUUUAUGGGCAAAGGCUAGUGUAACCGUGGACUCUUUGUACUCAUUGUUUUUGAAAUUAUGAAUGAAAAUGUAUCAUCUUUUUCUCCCUUGAUUGAUUCUAUUGAUAUGUGGCAUGCUAGAUUAGGACAUAUUAAUAUUUCUUAUGCUAAAAAAAAUGCAAUAUCUUGGUUUAAUUUCUAGUAUUAGUAAUACAUACUUUAAUAAAUGUGAAAAAUAUGUAGAAUCUAAAUUAACUAAGAAAUCUUGCCCUUUUAUACAAAGAAAAAUUAAUUGCUAAGUUUAAUCCACAUUGACCUAGGAGAUUUGAAAUAAACUAUGACUAGAUUUGGUGAAAAAAAAUAUUGUGUCUUUUAUUGGUGCUUUUUCUGGAGUAUACUAAGUUAUAUUUGCUUAUAAAUAAAGAUGAGGCUUUUGACAAGUUUCUUUUGUAUGAAGUUAAAGUAGAAAAUCAAUUAAAUAGGAAGGUUAAGAGGGUUAGUUUAGAUAAAGGUGAUGAAUAUGUUUUGUUUAAUGAUUUUUAUGAAAAGGACGGAAUCAUUUGUGAAUCUACUCCUUAUUUACUUGAAUAUAAUGUAGUAGCAAAAAGAAAAAAUAAGACUUUGAGAGAAAUGAUGAAUGUUUUACUUAUUUGUUCUUCUACAACUGAUAAUAUUUGGGGAAAGGCUUUAUCAUCUGCCUAUCAUUUACAAAAUAAAAUUCCUUACAAGAGAACCGGUAAGACUCCAUAUGAUUUAUGGAAAGGCUAUAUAUCUAACCUAAAAUAUUUGAAAAUGUUGGGGUGUCUUGCUAAGGUAGUGAGUAUUUCCAAAAGCUUUGGUCCCGAAUUGCCUAGGAGUAAGGUCUUACAGUAGUAUGUAAGUAAACUCGAAAAGAGGAGUUGGGCUCGCAUGCACAAGAUUGGGCCAAAAGUCCAAAUUGAGUGUAAAUUGGUGGAUUCCCCCCUGAGCACGAGAUAUAGUCUAAUACAAAAUAAAUUGUUAUUUUUCAUUAUAAUUAAAAUUUUGCACUUAACCGAAAUUGGUCUUAUUUGACCUAUUAUUUUCUCUAGACUUUGGCCACAAGGUUUUAUUGAUUGUUGCAGAUCUUGUUAAUGUUAACAACUUGAUUUUCUUGAUAUGCUCCUCUUUUUCCUCUGGCCUAACUUUACAAUUUUUGUACAAUAAAUGUGUUCAAGUUUUACUUAUCUAAUAUGUGCUCUUCCGUUUCCUUUCUCUACUAUUGGCUUUAUUCAAAAUUACUUCUUGCUGUUGUGUCAUGGAAUUCCAUUCCAGAAGGGCCUGUUAAAUUUUGGGGAUUUCUGCAUUGUUCAAUUAACUUUUGAGGUUGAAAUAAUCCUUAAGGACAGUGUUUGUGAACAUGUCUCAAGCUUUCAUUUUCAUAUUGUUCAAUUUUGACCACAAAAUUACCAUUUUACAAUUUUGAAGUUGUAAUUGUAAGUAGGGUAAAAUACUGUUUCAUAUCUCAAGUAUGUCAAAAUUAAUAACUUGGUCCUCAUAUUUUCAAAAAUACACAAUUUAGUCCCUUAUAUUUAAUUCGGUUUUCGUCUAUUUUUAUCGAUUUAACCAUUAGUCAAGGGACUAAAAGGUGGUUAAUGAUGGAUAGAAGUGUUAAUAAUGGUAAAAAUUCAAGGAUAGAAAUGUUUAUAAUGUUAAAAACUCAGGGAUGAAAAUGUUUAUCAUUAAUGAUAAAAGUUGAGGAAAAUAGAUGAAGUGAUGAAAGUGUAUGACAGAAUCAA
rnacentral:misc_RNA from 1 species